UCUCUCUCUCUGGGUCUCUGGGGACAGCAUUGACAUUUGAGAGAAGCACUACUACGAUUUUCAAGAAAUCUUAGCCCUGACGAAUAGAUACAAACAAAAACAAACCCCGCAGCAUCUAUACGUAAAACAAACAAAAUCACAUUCUAGGGUUUCCAAAUCAUCUCUCCCUUUUAUUUUUUCCCUGUUCUAUUUUCCCUCCCUCCAAACACCGUUCCCGCUUGUGCAUACUUCUCUCACAAGAAAGCGGGGACGAAUGUUUUGGUCUUUUUCUCCCUCUCCCCCUCUCUUGAUUAGUUGUUUUGUGGCCUCUUCUUAAUUUUGCUUCGGACCUCUAAUUGAGGGUGAAAUUUCCAGGAAAUUGAGCUUCAAUUUCUGCUGCGUACGACCUCAGCCGGCGGCUCUUGAUUCCUCACAGCUAAUUCUUUAAGGUUUUCCUGAGAUUGUUUGGUCUGUGAGGGACAACAACGAAGGAUCUUGGGAUAGCGUGAGUGUAAGAGAAUGCCUGAUGUUGACGCGAAGGGAAGAUGCUAUAGCUCGCUUGAAAUAUAUUAUUCUCAGAUUAUUGAUUUGUCAGACCUUUGGUGAUUUUCAAUUCGUUGAAGUUCGAAUGUGAUUUGGUUUAUGGAUUCGGGAGCAAUUCCAUCUUCCACAAAUUCAGUAAAAUGUUGCGACUGCGCCUGCAGUUGUUCAUUGGCAGCUGAUUCUUCGGCAACCUGGCUUCGUACAGUCAAAAGGAAGCUUGGUGAGUUUGAACGGGACGACAAAUUCUCUGUACCCGAGUUGGAUUCAUUUUCAGUUGCACGGGUCCAAAUAGAAAAUGAAUGUGAAGCCUUACGGGAGACAGUUGCUAGGCAACUACAAGCAAUACAAGAUCUACACGCUGAAUUGGAAGAGGAGAGAAAUGCUUCAUCAACGGCAGCAAAUGAGGCCAUGUCUAUGAUAUUGAGGUUGCAGAGGGAGAAAGCAGAGAUUCAAAUGGAAGCCCGGCAGUUCAAGCGAUUUGCAGAGGAGAAGACAUCACAUGACCAGGAGGAGCUUUUAGCACUGGAGGACUUGUUGUAUAAGAGGGAGCUGACAAUACAGGCGCUCACAUGUGAAAUUCAGGCUUAUAAGCACAGGAUGAUGAGUUAUGGUCUCACAGAAUCAGAGGCUGCAGGUGAAAUGAGCCUGAACAUGGGGGAAUUGAGUGAUCAAUAUGAAUUGCCCUCCUAUGACUACCCUCCUUUAAAAUGCAGUGGACAUACUGCCAUGGAUGCUGACAAUGAUGAGACAGAUAUUGAGAAAUAUGCAUUUGUUGAAACUCCUUCUGAUAGGUUGAGAAACUUGGAAAAUAGAAUCUCCCAAAUGGAGAGAAAUUCUAUUCAUCAGCAGGUGGAUGAGGAUAAUAAGACAGGGAAAACAAUUCUAGAGAAGGAGGUAGUUGGACAGUCUCCAAGGCGGAUUAGACAUUCAAGAAAGAUAUCCAAUGACUCAAGUUCAUUUACGGUGGAUUCUCCCAAGAGCUUUAGGAAGAUGGAAUAUGUCUCACAACCAGAUGAUCGUUCCCAUUUGAGAAGGGUAGAUUAUGCAUCAGAAGCUGGUGAUGAUAUGGGUGACAGAGUUUACACUAUUGACUCUGUUCAUACAGUGACACCAGACAAAGGUAUUUCAGAGUCCAAAAGUGGAGUUGUUCAUGAAGAUUAUUCGACUGCUCCAAUGGAGACACUAAAUCGUGCUGAAUUUGAAGAUCCUGACAUAAAGAAGCUUUACGUGAGACUUCAAGCUCUUGAGGCUGAUAGGGAAUCAAUGAGGCAGGCUAUCAUUUCAAUGCGCACUGAUAAAGCACAGGUUCUUCUGCUUAAGGAAAUAGCUCAACAUUUGUGCAAAGAGAUGUCACCGCAAAGGAGAAUGACAAUGAGGAAGCCGUCUGUUAUUAGCAGUUUUUCAUUCUUGUCAAUUUUUAAGUGGAUGAUAUCGUUGGUUUUGUGGAGGAAAAAAGCUGGUCAAAGCAAGAAUGAAUUGCAACCAUUUUAGCACAAGAAUUUAUUUUAAAGAGAGAACAAUUGCAGAAUUCACGCAGCUAAUGCUUAUGAAACAUACAAAUUCAAUGUAUAUGUUUGGGCUACCAGCCAGUGGUGUGGGCUUGCUAAUGCUUUUGGACAAGAGGCCACGUGGAAGGCCUCGGAGAUGCGUCUCAAUCACCCAGGUGGGAGAUUAAUUCUUGAAUUUCUUUACUGGCUUACAGAGGGUAAGCUCAGAUGUGGGAAUACCAGUCGCGGAUUGAAUUUUAAUCACACUACUACCACUUUGAGAUUUCUCUCUCUCUUUCUUGCUGCCUGGAUCAUUGUGACACACAGAAAAUGGUGUUCUAUGCAGUUUUCUAUUAUUCCUCUGGCAUAAAAUUGAAUAUAAUUUGUUGGGUGACUGGUGAAACUUGCGGUUUGAGCAUACAUGCUCAUAUGGUUAGUUUGAGUUGAGAUUGUAGCAUACGUCUUUUGACAGUUCUCCUGUACAUCACUAUGUUUCGAGUUUCAUCUUUAUUGGACUAUGUAGUUCCACUUCAUUUCUCCAUCUCACCACUUACCACUAGUUUGAUUGUGGGUUCUUGCCCAUGUCGUCUCUUUCUGUAUUGAUAAUGUAAGCUUGUAUAAUAUUCAUAUUGUAUAUUUGAUCAAGUAUCAGUGACAAUUUGUGGUUUACCGAUGGUCCGCUAUUUUUGUCCCAAUUGAAUCGGUGAAUGGGAUUGGGCUACCAGGCAUGCAAGGAGAACAAGAAGUUGACCAAGUCAUAUUUGACAAAACGAAUUUGCAGCUGCACUCUGGCCCCACUUGCUUUGAGUUGAUUGUUGACAACUCGGAGAUGUUGGAGAAUUACAGGCUUGCUUGAGGUUGUGCUGUUAUGUUGUCCAUACUUAGGCUUAAAAUGAGGUAGAUACGUACGACUGGGUUAACGACGAUGUGAUUGGCCUGAAUAGAAUUUCAAUUUAAUAUUCCAAUAUAAGUGUAUUGAAAGUUGCAUUGUUGACAGAGUCAUGAACACCAUUUAUUUAUUUAUUUUAUUUCUCUA